rnacentral:rRNA from 1 species
GACGAACGCUGGCGGCGUGCUUAACACAUGCAAGUCGAACGGAAAGGCCCUGCUUGCAGGGUACUCGAGUGGCGAACGGGUGGGUAACACGUGGGUGAUCUGCCCUGCACUUCGGGAUAAGCCUGGGAAACUGGGUCUAAUACCGGAUAGGAGCCAUUUUUAGUGUGAUGGUUGGAAAGUUUUUUCGGUGUAGGAUGAGCUCGCGGCCUAUCAGCUUGUUGGUGGGGUAAUGGCCUACCAAGGCGGCGACGGGUAGCCGGCCUGAGAGGGUGGACGGCCACAUUGGGACUGAGAUACGGCCCAGACUCCUACGGGAGGCAGCAGUGGGGAAUAUUGCACAAUGGGCGCAAGCCUGAUGCAGCGACGCCGCGUGGGGGAUGACGGCCUUCGGGUUGUAAACUCCUUUCGCUAGGGACGAAGCUUUUUGUGACGGUACCUAGAGAAGAAGCACCGGCUAACUACGUG